rnacentral:rRNA from 1 species
UAGGGAAUCUUCCGCAAUGGGCGAAAGCCUGACGGAGCAACGCCGCGUGAGUGAUGAAGGUCUUCGGAUCGUAAAACUCUGUUAUUAGGGAAGAACAAAUGUGUAAGUAACUAUGCACGUCUUGACGGUACCUAAUCAGAAAGCCACGGCUAACUACGUGCCAGCAGCCGCGGUAAUACGUAGGUGGCAAGCGUUAUCCGGAAUUAUUGGGCGUAAAGCGCGCGUAGGCGGUUUUUUAAGUCUGAUGUGAAAGCCCACGGCUCAACCGUGGAGGGUCAUUGGAAACUGGAAAACUUGAGUGCAGAAGAGGAAAGUGGAAUUCCAUGUGUAGCGGUGAAACGCGCAGAGAUAUGGAGGAACACCAGUGGCGAAGGCGACUUUCUGGUCUGUAACUGACGCUGAUGUGCGAAAGCGUGGGGAUCAAACAGG